rnacentral:rRNA from 1 species
ACGGGAGGCAGCAGUUGGGAAUAUUGCACAAUGGGGGCAACCCUGACGCAGCAACGCCGCAUGCGGGACGGAGGGCUUCGGCCCGUAAACCGCUUUCAGCAGGGAAGACAUCGACGGUACCUGCAGAAGAAGCUCCGGCUAACUACGUGCCAGCAGCCGCGGUAAUACGUAGGGGGCGAGCGUUAUCCGGAUUCAUUGGGCGUAAAGCGCGCGUAGGCGGCCGCCUAAGCGGAGUUUCUAACCUUGGGGCUCAACCUCAAGCCGGACUCCGAACUGGGCGGCCCGAGUGCGGUAGGGGCAGGCGGAAUUCCACGUGUAGCGGUGAAAUGCGCAGAUAUGUGGAGGAACACCGAUGGCGAAGGCAGCCUGCUGGGCCGCCACUGACGCUGAGGCGCGAAAGCUGGGGGAGCGAACAGGAUUAGAUACCCUGGUA